rnacentral:rRNA from 1 species
GAUGAACGCUGGCGGCGUGCCUAAUACAUGCAAGUCGAACGCUGAAGGAGGAGCUUGCUCUUCUGGAUGAGUUGCGAACGGGUGAGUAACGCGUAGGUAACCUGCCUGGUAGCGGGGGAUAACUAUUGGAAACGAUAGCUAAUACCGCAUGACAACAGUUAUUGCAUGAUAACUGUUUAAAAGGGGCAACUGCUCCACUACCAGAUGGACCUGCGUUGUAUUAGCUAGUUGGUGAGGUAACGGCUCACCAAGGCGACGAUACAUAGCCGACCUGAGAGGGUGAUCGGCCACACUGGGACUGAGACACGGCCCAGACUCCUACGGGAGGCAGCAGUAGGGAAUCUUCGGCAAUGGACGGAAGUCUGACCGAGCAACGCCGCGUGAGUGAAGAAGGUUUUCGGAUCGUAAAGCUCUGUUGUAAGAGAAGAACGAGUGUGAGAGUGGAAAGUUCACACUGUGACGGUAUCUUAACAGAAAGGGACGGCUAACUACGUG